GACGAACGCUGGCGGCGUGCUUAACACAUGCAAGUCGAACGGAAAGGCCCUUCUUGUGUUGCUUGCUCGAGUGGCGAACGGGUGAGUAACGCGUGAUUUACCUUCCCCUGACGGUUGGGUAACGUCAGGUAACUGUGGCUAAUACCGGGUAGGAGCUCCUGCUGCAUGGUUGGGGUGGGAAAGUUUCGGGGGUUGGGGAUGGACUCGCGGCUUAUAAUCUUGUUGUUGGGGUAGUGGCUUACCAAGGCGUUUACGGGGAGCCGGCCUGUGAGGGUGACCGGCAAAAUUGGGACUGGGAUACGGCCAGGACCCCUCGGGGAGGAAGAAGUGGGGAAUAUUGCAAAAUGGGCGGAAGCCGGAUGCAGCAAGGCCGCGUGCGGGAUGACGGCCUUCGGGUGGAAACCCGUUUUCGCAUGUGACGAAGCGUGAGUGACGGUAAUGGGUAAAGAAGCACCGGCUAACUACGUG
rnacentral:rRNA from 1 species